rnacentral:rRNA from 1 species
AACGAACGCUGGCGGCAUGCCUAACACAUGCAAGUCGAACGAAGCCUUCGGGCUUAGUGGCGCACGGGUGCGUAACACGUGGGAAUCUGCCCUUUGGUUCGGAAUAACAGUUAGAAAUGACUGCUAAUACCGGAUAAUGACGUAAGUCCAAAGAUUUAUCGCCGAAGGAUGAGCCCGCGUAGGAUUAGGUAGUUGGUGGGGUAAUGGCCCACCAAGCCGACGAUCCUUAGCUGGUCUGAGAGGAUGAUCAGCCACACUGGGACUGAGACACGGCCCAGACUCCUACGGAGGCAGCAGUGGGGAAUAUUGGACAAUGGGCGAAAGCCUGAUCCAGCAAUGCCGCGUGAGUGAUGAAGGCCUUAGGGUUGUAAAGGCUCUUUUACCAGGGAUGAUAAUGACAGUACCUGGAGAAUAAGACUCCGGCUAACUCCGUGCCAGCAGCCGCGGUAAU